GCAGCGUAGCGUAGUGGUUUGAGCGCUGGACUACGACUCUGGAGACCAGGAUUCGAUUCCCUGCUUUGACA